rnacentral:misc_RNA from 1 species
CAUACUAUACUGAUUUCAACUCCGCACUUCAUUAUGAGUUGAGAUGGUAUGAGCUUCGGUUUCACAAGCGAUAUAUUGAUAUGGUCAAGAACAAGUAUCUGCCUUACAUUCUUGAAAUGGCGAAGAAAAUUAAGGAUCAAAAUAGGGUUGUGAAGUUUUUCACUACUCGUGGAGGGAGAGACGGCUGGAGCUCUAAAGGGAUCAACCUGGAUCAUCCCAUGACAUUUGAAACGCUAGCCAUGGAUGGAGACCUCAAGCAGAAAGUGGUUGAAGAUCUUAAUAGCUUCAUUCGGGGCAAGGAGUAUUACAAGAAGAUUGGUAAAGUAUGGAAGCGAGGUUACUUAUUAUAUGGUCCUCCAGGAACUGGGAAAUCAAGCCUGAUAGCUGCCAUGGCCAAUUUUCUUAACUUUGAUAUUUAUAACUUGAACCUGUCUGCUGUUAACUCUGACUCUUCUCUUGAGUAUUUGUUGCUUCAUAUGUCCAAUCGUUCAAUUCUUGUGCUGGAGGAUAUCGACUGCUCCAUCAUGCUGCAAAACCGUCAAGCAGGAGAUCAUCAACCAGAUAAUAAUAACCAAAUUUCUCGGCCUCAGGUAACACUCUCUGGCCUUCUAAACGCCAUUGAUGGCCUACUGUCCUGCUGUGGAGAUGAAAGGAUUAUAAUUUUCACUACCAACUACAAAGAUCCUGCCUUGCUAAGAGCAGGUCGUAUGGAUAUGCACAUAUACCUAUCUUACUGCACAUUCUCCACCUUCAAGCAGCUAGCAGCCAAUUACUUGGAUCUAUGGGAGCAUGAUCUCUUUAGUUGUGUUGAAGAGCUUAUUAAAGAAGUUGAAGUUAGCCCUGCUGAUGUUGCAGGGGAACUGAUGAAGAACACAGAUCCUAUGACUUCUCUAGAAGGACUCAUCAAGUUUUUGGAAAUCAAGAAAUCAGAAGCAAAAUCCUUGGAAUCACCUCCCCUAGGAUUGCAAGGACAUGAGAUUAAGUCAGAGCUUGACAGUAACAGCCUUAACGAGAAGGACAAGCACCAACUCCGAAAGUCAUGCAAGAACCCUGAUUCUGGUGAUAGCACCUUCCAAAACCAAAAAGAGGUCAAGUCUCCUGCGGCUCAUUCUACUUCAUUGAAGGAAAAAGAGUAUACAAUUAAGGCAGAAUUUCAGCCUAUCCUUGAAGCUAUUCUUUCAAAGCAUGGAGACAUUGCUGCCAAUUGCUCUUUGCACUCUCUUCAAUGCCGUU